CAGCAGCCGCGGUAAUACGGAGGGAGCUAGCGUUGUUCGGAAUUACUGGGCGUAAAGCGCACGUAGGCGGUUAUUCAAGUCAGAGGUGAAAGCCCGGGGCUCAACCCCGGAACUGCCUUUGAAACUAGAUGACUGGAAUUUUGGAGAGGUCAGUGGAAUUCCGAGUGUAGAGGUGAAAUUCGUAGAUAUUCGGAAGAACACCAGUGGCGAAGGCGACUGACUGGACGAGUAUUGACGCUGAGGUGCGGAAGCGUGGGGAGCAAACAGGAUUAGAUACCCUGGUAGUCCACGCCGUAAACGAUGAUAACUAACUGUUGGCUUUCGGGUCAGUGGUACAGAGAAAUCGUUAAGUUAUCCACCUGGGGAGUACGCCGGCAACGGUGAAACUCAAAGGAAUUGACGG
rnacentral:rRNA from 1 species